rnacentral:rRNA from 1 species
GACGAACCGUGCGAACGUUGUUCGGAAUCACUGGGCUUAAAGGGCGCGUAGGCGGGUUCCCAAGUCCGGGGUGAAAUCUUUCGGCUCAACCGGAAAAUAGCCUUGGAUACUGGGAGUCUCGAGGGAGGUAGGGGCAGCGGGAACUUCCGGUGGAGCGGUGAAAUGCGUUGAUAUCGGAAGGAACGCCGGUGGCGAAAGCGCGCUGCUGGACCUCUGCUGACGCUGAGGCGCGAAAGCCAGGGGAGCAAACGGG